UAUUGAGUUUGAUCCUGGCUCAGAUUGAACGCUGGCGACAUGCCUUACACAUGCAAGUCGAACGGCAGCACGGGUGCUUGCACCUGGUGGCGAGUGGCGAACGGGUGAGUAAUACAUCGGAACAUGUCCUGUAGUGGGGGAUAGCCCGGCGAAAGCCGGAUUAAUACCGCAUACGAUCUACGGAUGAAAGCGGGGGACCUUCGGGCCUCGCGCUAUAGGGUUGGCCGAUGGCUGAUUAGCUAGUUGGUGGGGUAAAGGCCUACCAAGGCGACGAUCAGUAGCUGGUCUGAGAGGACGACCAGCCACACUGGGACUGAGACACGGCCCAGACUCCUACGGGAGGCAGCAGUGGGGAAUUUUGGACAAUGGGCGAAAGCCUGAUCCAGCAAUGCCGCGUGUGUGAAGAAGGCCUUCGGGUUGUAAAGCACUUUUGUCCGGAAAGAAAUCCUUGGCUCUAAUACAGUCGGGGGAUGACGGUACCGGAAGAAUAAGCACCGGCUAACUACGUGCCAGCAGCCGCGGUAAUACGUAGGGUGCGAGCGUUAAUCGGAAUUACUGGGCGUAAAGCGUGCGCANGCGGUUUGCUAAGACCGAUGUNGAACCCCCGGGCUCAACCCUGGAACUGCAUUGGUGACUGGCAGGCUAGAGUAUGGCAGAGGGGGGUAGAAUUCCACGUGUAGCAGUGAAAUGCGUAGAGAUGUGGAGGAAUACCGAUGGCGAAAGCCAGCCCCCUUGGCCAAUACUGACGCUCAUGCACGAAAGCCUGGGGAGCAAACAGGAUUAGAUACCCGGGUAGUCCACGCCCUAAACGAUGUCAACUAGUUGUUGGGGAUUCAUUUCCUUAGUAACGUAGCUAACGCGUGAAGUUGACCGCCUGGGGAGUACGGUCGCAAGAUUAAAACUCAAAGGAAUUGACGGGGACCCGCACAAGCGGUGGAUGAUGUGGAUUAAUUCGAUGCAACGCGAAAAACCUUACCUACCCUUGACAUGGUCGGAAUCCCGCUGAGAGGUGGGAGUGCUCGAAAGAGAACCGGCGCACAGGUGCUGCAUGGCUGUCGUCAGCUCGUGUCGUGAGAUGUUGGGUUAAGUCCCGCAACGAGCGCAACCCUUGUCCUUAGUUGCUACGCAAGAGCACUCUAAGGAGACUGCCGGUGACAAACCGGAGGAAGGUGGGGAUGACGUCAAGUCCUCAUGGCCCUUAUGGGUAGGGCUUCACACGUCAUACAAUGGUCGGAACAGAGGGUUGCCAACCCGCGAGGGGGAGCUAAUCCCAGAAAACCGAUCGUAGUCCGGAUUGCACUCUGCAACUCGAGUGCAUGAAGCUGGAAUCGCUAGUAAUCGCGGAUCAGCAUGCCGCGGUGAAUACGUUCCCGGGUCUUGUACACACCGCCCGUCACACCAUGGGAGUGGGUUUUACCAGAAGUGGCUAGUCUAACCGCAAGGAGGACGGUCACCACGGUAGGAUUCAUGACUGGGGUGAAGUCGUAACAAGGUAA
rnacentral:rRNA from 1 species